AUUGAACGCUGGCGGCAUGCUUUACACAUGCAAGUCGAACGGUAACAGCACUUCGGUGGCUGACGAGUGGCGAACGGGUGAGUAAUACAUCGGAACGUGCCUAGUAGUGGGGGAUAACUACUCGAAAGAGUAGCUAAUACCGCAUGAGAUCUAAGGAUGAAAGCAGGGGACCUUCGGGCCUUGCGCUACUAGAGCGGCUGAUGGCAGAUUAGGUAGUUGGUGGGAUAAAAGCUUACCAAGCCGACGAUCUGUAGCUGGUCUGAGAGGACGACCAGCCACACUGGGACUGAGACACGGCCCAGACUCCUACGGGAGGCAGCAGUGGGGAAUUUUGGACAAUGGGCGCAAGCCUGAUCCAGCAAUGCCGCGUGCAGGAUGAAGGCCUUCGGGUUGUAAACUGCUUUUGUACGGAACGAAAAGCCCUCUUCUAAUACAGGAGGGUCAUGACGGCACCGUAAGAAUAAGCACCGGCUAACUACGUG
rnacentral:rRNA from 1 species